rnacentral:rRNA from 1 species
AGCGAACGCUGGCGGCAGGCCUAACACAUGCAAGUCGAACGAACCUUUCGGGGUUAGUGGCGGACGGGUGAGUAACACGUGGGAACGUGCCUUUAGGUUCGGAAUAACUCAGGGAAACUUGUGCUAAUACCGAAUGUGCCCUUCGGGGGAAAGAUUUAUCGCCUUUAGAGCGGCCCGGGUCUGAUUAGCUAGUUGGUUGAGGUAAUGGCUCACCAAGGCGACGAUCAGUAGCUGGUCUGAGAGGAUGAUCAGCCACAUUGGGACUGAGACACGGCCCAAACUCCGACGGGAGGCAGCAGUGGGGAAUCUUGCGCAAUGGGCGAAAGCCUGACGCAGCCAUGCCGCGUGAAUGAGGAAGGUCUUAGGAUUGUAAAAUUCUUUCACCGGGGACGAUAAUGACGGUACCCGGAGAAGAAGCCCCGGCUAACUUCGUG